CCUACGGGUGGCAGCAGUGAGGAAUAUUGGUCAAUGGGCUUACGCCUGAACCAGCCAAGUCGCGUGAGGGAAGACUGCCCUAUGGGUUGUAAACCUCUUUUGUCAGGGAGCAAUUGGCGCUACGUGUAGCGUUAUCGAGAGUACCUGAAGAAAAAGCAUCGGCUAACUCCGUGCCAGCAGCCGCGGUAAUACGGAGGAUGCGAGCGUUAUCCGGAUUUAUUGGGUUUAAAGGGUGCGCAGGCGGAAGAUCAAGUCAGCGGUAAAAUUGAGAGGCUCAACCUCUUCGAGCCGUUGAAACUGGUUUUCUUGAGUGAGUGAGAAGUAUGCGGAAUGCGUGGUGUAGCGGUGAAAUGCAUAGAUAUCACGCAGAACUCCGAUUGCGAAGGCAGCUUACUAAGCCAUAACUGACACUGAAGCACGAAAGCGUGGGGAUCAAACAGGAUUAGAUACCCCUGUAGUC
rnacentral:rRNA from 1 species